rnacentral:tRNA from 1 species
AAAGGAUUUUUUAGAAAGCUGCUAACUAUCUUAUAGCAAUUAAUAUUGUUGAAU